rnacentral:rRNA from 1 species
GGGUUGUGAGGUUAAGCGACUAAGCGUACACGGUGGAUGCCCUGGCAGUCAGAGGCGAUGAAGGGCGUGCUAAUCUGCGAUAAGCGCCGGUAAGGUGAUAUGAACCGUUAUAACCGGCGAUACCCGAAUGGGGAAACCCAGUGUGAUUCGUCACACUAUCAUUAACUGAAUCCAUAGGUUAAUGAGGCGAACCGGGGGAACUGAAACAUCUAAGUACCCCGAGGAAAAGAAAUCAACCGAGAUUCCCCCAGUAGCGGCGAGCGAACGGGGAGGAGCCCAGAGCCUGAAUCAGCAUGUGUGUUAGUGGAAGCGUCUGGAAAGGCGCGCGAUACAGGGUGACAGCCCCGUACACAAAAGCGCAUGUGCUGUGAGCUCGAUGAGUAGGGCGGGACACGUGGUAUCCUGUCUGAAUAUGGGGGGACCAUCCUCCAAGGCUAAAUACUCCUGACUGACCGAUAGUGAACCAGUACCGUGAGGGAAAGGCGAAAAGAACCCCGGCGAGGGGAGUGAAAAAGAACCUGAAACCGUGUACGUACAAGCAGUGGGAGCACAGGUUUACCUGUGUGACUGCGUACCUUUUGUAUAAUGGGUCAGCGACUUAUAUUCUGUAGCAAGGUUAACCGAAUAGGGGAGCCGGAGGGAAACCGAGUCUUAAUUGGGCGUUAAGUUGCAGGGUAUAGACCCGAAACCCGGUGAUCUAGCCAUGGGCAGGUUGAAGGUUGGGUAACACUAACUGGAGGACCGAACCGACUAAUGUUGAAAAAUUAGCGGAUGACCUGUGGCUGGGGGUGAAAGGCCAAUCAAACCGGGAGAUAGCUGGUUCUCCCCGAAAGCUAUUUAGGUAGCGCCUCGUGAAUUCAUCUCCGGGGGUAGAGCACUGUUUCGGCUAGGGGGCCAUCCCGGCUUACCAACCCGAUGCAAACUGCGAAUACCGGAGAAUGUUAUCACGGGAGACACACGGCGGGUGCUAACGUCCGUCGUGAAGAGGGAAACAACCCAGACCGCCAGCUAAGGUCCCAAAGUCAUGGUUAAGUGGGAAACGAUGUGGGAAGGCCCAGACAGCCAGGAUGUUGGCUUAGAAGCAGCCAUCAUUUAAAGAAAGCGUAAUAGCUCACUGGUCGAGUCGGCCUGCGCGGAAGAUGUAACGGGGCUAAACCAUGCACCGAAGCUGCGGCAGCGACGCUUAUGCGU